AUUGAACGCUGGCGGCAUGCCUUACACAUGCAAGUCGAACGGCAGCGCGGGAGCAAUCCUGGCGGCGAGUGGCGAACGGGUGAGUAAUAUAUCGGAACGUGCCCAAGAGUGGGGGAUAGCCCGGCGAAAGCCGGAUUAAUACCGCAUACGCCCUAAGGGGGAAAGUGGGGGACCGCAAGGCCUCACGCUCGUGGAGCGGCCGAUAUCUGAUUAGCGAGUUGGUGGGGUAAGGGCCUGCCAAGGCGACGAUCAGUAGCUGGUCUGAGAGGACGACCAGCCACACUGGGACUGAGACACGGCCCAGACUCCUACGGGAGGCAGCAGUGGGGAAUUUUGGACAAUGGGGGCAACCCUGAUCCAGCAAUGCCGCGUGUGUGAAGAAGGCCUUCGGGUUGUAAAGCACUUUUGUCUGGAAAGAAAUCCCCUGGGAUAAUACCCCAGGGGGAUGAUGGUACCGGAAGAAUAAGCACCGGCUAACUCUGUGCCAGCCGCCGCCGUAAAAC
rnacentral:rRNA from 1 species